GGCCCCCCUCAUGUUUACCUUCUACAGAGGCACCAACGAUCUUCUCAGCUGCUCUCACUAUGCAUUGAAGUGUCUUGCGGCAGGACGCGUUGCAGGCGCCAUACCACACAGUGA